CCUACGGGUGGCAGCAGUGGGGAAUUUUGCGCAAUGGGGGAAACCCUGACGCAGCAACGCCGCGUGCGGGACGAAGGCCCUCGGGUCGUAAACCGCUUUCAGCAGGGAAGCCCACGACGGUACCUGCAGACGAAGCUCCGGCUAACUACGUGCCAGCAGCCGCGGUAAUACGUAGGGGGCGAGCGUUAUCCGGAUUCAUUGGGCGUAAAGCGCGCGUAGGCGGCCGCCUAAGCGGAACCUCUAGCCCCGGGGCUCAACCUCGGGCCGGGUUCCGGCCUGGGCGGCUCGAGUGCGGUAGAGGAGAGCGGAAUUCCCGGUGUAGCGGUGGAAUGCGCAGAUAUCGGGAAGAACACCGAGGGCGAAGGCAGCUCGCUGGGGCGGCACUGACGCUGAGGCGCGAAAGCUGGGGGAGCGAACAGGAUUAGAUACCCCUGUAGUC
rnacentral:rRNA from 1 species